rfam:Blastocystis hominis, Singapore isolate B (sub-type 7) whole genome shotgun sequence assembly, scaffold_0
GUCGGGUUGGUGUAGUGGCUAUCACGCUCGCUUCACACGCGAGAGGUCGCGAGUUCGAACCUCGCAUCCGAUA